rnacentral:lncRNA from 1 species
AACAGAAAAUUCAAACACGCAGUUAGUAGUAUGAUGAAAUACACCACCCAAAAUUCAGCCUUGAUUUGCGGGCCAUGAAGCAGAAGAAUGUAUCAGGUGAAUAUGUAGCAAUAUAGUAGAGAUUUCUGUAGGAUUUGAAGAGAAUAAUGAAGUAUUUGAAGCCUUGUGACGUGUAUAGCAAAGCAGAUAUGGGGAACAUUAUAUAAGGAUUCUAUACUUAUAACCCAGUA